CCCGCUGAACUUAAGCAUAUCAAUAAGCGGAGGAAAAGAAACCAACAGGGAUUGCCUCAGUAACGGCGAGUGAAGCGGCAACAGCUCAAAUUUGAAAUCUGGCCCCUUCGGGGUCCGAGUUGUAAUUUGGAGAGGAUGCUUCGGGUGUGGCCCCGGUCUAAGUUCCUUGGAACAGGACGUCACAGAGGGUGAGAAUCCCGUACGUGCCCGGUGGCCGCCCCCGUGUGAAGCUCCUUCGACGAGUCGAGUUGUUUGGGAAUGCAGCUCAAAAUGGGUGGUAAAUUUCAUCUAAAGCUAAAUAUUGGCCAGAGACCGAUAGCGCACAAGUAGAGUGAUCGAAAGAUGAAAAGCACUUUGGAAAGAGAGUUAAACAGUACGUGAAAUUGUUGAAAGGGAAGCGCUUGCAACCAGACUUGCACUUGGUCGAUCAUCCGAGGUUCUCCCCGGUGCACUCGAUCUCGUUCAGGCCAGCAUCGGUUCAGGUGGUGGGAUAAAGGCCUUGGGAAUGUAGCUUCUUUCGGGGAGUGUUAUAGCCCUCGGUGCAAUGCCGCCUACCUGGACCGAGGACCGCGCUUCGGCUAGGAUGCUGGCGUAAUGGUUGUAAGCGACCCGUCUUGAAACACGG
rnacentral:rRNA from 1 species